UGGCUCACCGAUCGCCGACCCUCCUCCCUCCCUCUCGCGCUCGCACGCGCAGGCGGCGCUGUGCGUCGUGCCCGACGCCGCUUCCUCCUCCUUUGUUAGUCUUCUGCUCCCUCUCGACUCCUCCGUGAGCACCCUUCACUCGAUCCAUCACCGUCGGUGAAGAGAGCCACCAACCGAAUGCCACCCGACGAUGCCAUAGGAUGCAGCAGCCGUUGAUCUUUAGGCUACCCCUCCACCCUUCGAUCGAUUGAGUAGUCCCCUAGCCCUUUUGCGCGAGCGGGGAUUAGUGAUGCUACAACCCCCGCCGACACUCGGGAUCCUUCACAGCUGUGGACGCCACCUCUUCUCUCUUCACAGAGACCAUUGAUUCGGCUAUACCCAGGGAUCAAUUGGGAGGUAAAACCUUUUGUGGUAGAAGUUAUUUGAUUGGUGUUUUGAUUGAUGCUUAGAGGUGGCAGUCACUCGUCGGUUACUGAUUGAGUAUCUUCGAGGUGACUUGCUAAUAUAAUGGAGUAGGAUAUCAUAGAGAGUUAUAUUAUUAUGAUGUCUCAGUGGACGCUAUUUCGAGACGAGCACUCCGACACGGAGAUUGUUUAGCUCGAGCUACAUAUUAAAUGCGGGUAACAGGUAGAUGAGUCAUGGAUGCUUGGAGAGUCUCGGCUGCCAAUCCCACGUCACACACGAGGAUAGUUUUCUUUUUGGAUUUUGUUACUGUUCGGGUGACAUGUUAAUUUUAUAUAUUUUUCUUUUGAACAAGUCACAGUGGAUUUUUUUGGAGUUUAGUCUGGUGGUUGCAGGUAUUUUUGUUAGUGUCGUUGUUGGUCUUAUAUUCAUAUUGUUUUGUGGUGUCCGCUACGUUUACGUUGUUGUGUGUUUACUUUCAGCCGUGUAGGCUUAUUAAACUAUGUGGUUGUGUUUAUUUUGUUCCAGCCGAGUGGGCUGAUGAUAUAAACUGCGUGGUUGUGUA